UUCUCUCUCUCCCUCUCUCUCUCUCUCUCUCUCUCUCUCAAAAUCCCUACUCCCAUUUCAAAAUUCAGAAAAUAUGUAACCACAUAUUUGUGAAGAUGGCGGCCUCUGUUCAGGUAAGACGAAAAAUUCAGAAAAUAUGUAACCACAUAUUUGUGAAGAUGGCGGCCUCUAUGCAGGUAAGACGACGGCAAUAGAGAUGAAGUCUAGGGUUUGCAGCGGUGCUACAGGCGGUAACGCAUAUUUCUCAUCAUCUUCAGGGAGAUGUAGUGCUCUUAAAUGCUAUGAAGAGGACUCACUUUGAAAAUCGAAGAUACGGGAUUUGUACAAGAAGCUCAAAAUCUAACAUCUGGAUGCUACAAGAAGCAUGGAAUCGAUGAGGACUAAAAGAUUUAAGCGCUCGAUUGAUUAUCAGAAUCUCAAUCUAUAUGUUUCGUUUCUUAUUGUGUUCUGUUAGGGUUUUGUUAUUCCUCUGGAGACGACGAGAACCUAUCUGCCAAAGAUCUGAUUUUUUUUCUGUAAAUGACGGCAUGGGUUUUCCAGAAUGUAAAAGGGCUGAAGCAUCGGUUUCGUUUACACUGGCCUGGUUCGUGGAGUUUUUCAAGUGCAUAAUGUGUUCCUUUACUAUUAUACAGGAAAUCAGAUUACUAGGUUUCUAUGGAUAAGGUGAUUUGAGUUACAAUAUGUUCAAGUUCAAGCAAAUCCAUAUCCGACUUGUUUGAAGUUAACUCAAAUUAGGGACAAAAAGGUCAGCGAAGAACAAAGAUUUUUGACUGGUUUGAUAAGGGCAACAAGUUCGAGAUGGGAAAUUUACACCAAAUAUGAGAGACCUUUGCUAAAUGAUAGAGGCGAUAUAUGAUAUGAAGAAAUGGUCAACCGUUUCUUCAAGAUCCUCAAAAAGCGAGCACAGCUCAGGGAAUAGUUACCUUUUCUCGACUGAAAGUUGCGUGGUUUGUGUUUGCCAAUUUAGAAAUGGAAUUGUUUUAUUUAAAAAAAAGUUCAUGUGCGAAUUGUGAAAACUUCUCUACAUACCCUAGGACAUAUAUGACUAUUUCAUGCUAAAGGUCUUUUCAGCUUGUACAAAGACACGUAAGUGUCUCGCAUGUGUGGUUAUGAAGAGUUUCUUUUAGAGA